GCCCGCUCGCUCGGGCUCGGCGCGGACCCGCCUGGGCGUGCUCCUCUAUUGCUAGAGCUGCUGAUAGACUUUUGGCGCAGAUAGUGUAUUGAUCACUUGAAAUCUCAUUUGAGCUUGACUGAAUAUACAUAAUGGGGUGUCAAUCGGGGAAAAAUCUCAUAAUAAAUGGCAGGUGACUUAUAUUCAUGAGAAAAAAAAAAGUCUUGGGCCGCACACAAAAUACCAUGUUUACUGUAGCAUGACAGGUGGGUGUUUAAUAGCAAAGGCAAGGUUAGAAUACCAAGAUCCUGGAAACUUUCUUUGUUUAUGUGGGAAGCAUUUUUGUACACUCUAUACAGUAUAAGCAUCUUCUAGAACUACAGCCAGCAAGAAAGAUCUUUUCUACCUGAGAAAUUCAGAAAUUGCAAACAAAUCUGUUUAAGUUGGUGUGUAUUUAAAAUCAGCUACUGAUUUAUGCAGUCCAUAUUUUUUAAAUUUUUACCAUGUGUGUAUCAGUGCAUACACUCACUGUAUGCAAAUAUCAUUUUCAGUGUGUAUAUGGGAGAGCACAGUAUAUUUAGAGAAAAGUCUGCUUUACAUAAAUUAUUUUUAAGAACAACUGAGCAGAGGAGUAGCCAUGCGUUAGGAAAGCCAUUGACCAGACAGGGCCACAAAGCCGAUACAACAGGAUUAGCAAAAUUGCAUUGUUGGACAUAGGCACAGCGUGACAGGUGCUACAGCAAAGGCAUUUGGCAGGAUUAACCUGCCAAGGAUAAAGAUGUAGCAGACAAGGGGCUGAAUUAAUGGACUGGCAUGACCGAAGCAGGGAAAUCUAUUUGCAUGCAAUAUUAACUGUGCUAAUAAACUCCAGGC
rnacentral:lncRNA from 1 species